CCAGACUCCUACGGGAGGCAGCAGUGAGGAAUAUUGGUCAAUGGGCGAGAGCCUGAACCAGCCAAGUCGCGUGAAGGAUGAAGGAUCUAUGGUUUGUAAACUUCUUUUAUAUGGGAAUAAAGUGAGGAACGUGUUCCUUUUUGUAUGUACCAUAUGAAUAAGCAUCGGCUAACUCCGUGCCAGCAGCCGCGGUAAUACGGAGGAUGCGAGCGUUAUCCGGAUUUAUUGGGUUUAAAGGGUGCGCAGGCGGGAGAUCAAGUCAGCGGUAAAAUGUCGGGGCUCAACCCCGGCCGGCCGUUGAAACUGGUUUUCUAGAGUUGGAGAGAAGUAUGCGGAAUUCGUGGUGUAGCGGUGAAAUGCAUAGAUAUCACGAAGAACUCCGAUUGCGAAGGCAGCAUACCGGCUCCAUACUGACGCUGAGGCACGAAAGCGUGGGGAUCGAACAGGAUUAGAUACCCCUGUAU
rnacentral:rRNA from 1 species